CAAGUACGUCGCCCUUUUUUUGAAAAACAUGGUUUUUUGUAUUAUAAUCUAAAAUUUGACCUGCCCACUGAUAAUAAAUUGAAUGGCCGCGGUAUUUUGACCGUGCAAAGGUAGCAUAAUCAUUAGUCCUUUAAUUGUGGACUGGAAUGAAUGGUUUGACGAGGUAUUUACUGUCUCAUUUUAAUAAUUUGAAUUUAACUUUUAAGUUAAAAGGCUUAAAUAAUAUUAUAGGACGAGAAGACCCUAUAGAGCUUAAUAAUUAUUUAUUUUAAUAUAUUUUUGGUUAACUAUUUUUAUUAUAAUUUUAAUUAUUUUAUUGGGGUGAUAUAAAGAAUUAAAAAACUCUUUAUUUAUAUAAACAUUGAUUUAUGAUUGUUUGAUCCAUUAUUAAUGAUUAUAAGAUUAAGUUACCUUAGGGAUAACAGCGUUAUUUUUUUUGAGAGUUCUUAUCAACAUAAAAGAUUGCGACCUCGAUGUUGGAUUAAGGUAAAUAUUGGGUGUAGAAGUUCAAUAAUUGGGUCUGUUCGACCAUUGAAUCCUUACGUGAUCUGAGUUCCCAGACCGGGA
rnacentral:rRNA from 1 species